rnacentral:rRNA from 1 species
GAUGAACGCUGGCGGCGUGCCUAAUACAUGCAAGUCGAGCGAACGGACGAGAAGCUUGCUUCUCUGAUGUUAGCGGCGGACGGGUGAGUAACACGUGGAUAACCUACCUAUAAGACUGGGAUAACUUCGGGAAACCGGAGCUAAUACCGGAUGAUAUUUUGAACCGCAUGGUUCAAAAGUGAAAGACGGUCUUGCUGUCACUUAUAGAUGGAUCCGCGCUGCAUUAGCUAGUUGGUAAGGUAACGGCUUACCAAGGCAACGAUGCAUAGCCGACCUGAGAGGGUGAUCGGCCACACUGGAACUGAGACACGGUCCAGACGCCUACGGGAGGCAGCAGUAGGGAAUCUUCCGCAAUGGGCGAAAGCCUGACGGAGCAACGCCGCGUGAGUGAUGAAGGUCUUCGGAUCGUAAAACUCUGUUAUUAGGGAAGAACAUAUGUGUAAGUAACUGUGCACAUCUUGACGGUACCUAAUCAGAAAGCCACGGCUAACUACGUGC